CUCCCUUAGUGGGAAUCUUUAAUUUGUCUACUCAUAUAUUGAAAGCCUCAGAGAUUUCCUUGUUGAACAAAGGUUUGAACUUUGCCCCCCUCAGUAAUCCCAAUAUCUUGGAUCUAUUUAGGGAUCUUAAUCAAUUCAUUAGGAAAUUGACCCUUACUAGGUCAUUCAAUAUUAAGGAGGCCAAUAGUAUAAUUGAAUGUCCUGGUUUUUUAAAUGAACCACAAGAUAAGAUUAUACUUAAGAAUUUGAUAGGUCUCCUUAAUGAACAAACAGAGCCUGGGAUCACAAUUGAUGCCUUGGAGGUUAUAGACGCUAGUAUAACUACAGGUCUUAAACCACCUUCC